rnacentral:rRNA from 1 species
UGAGGAAUAUUGGUCAAUGGGCGAGAGCCUGAACCAGCCAAGUAGCGUGCAGGAUGACGGCCCUAUGGGUUGUAAACUGCUUUUAUAUGGGAAUAAAGUGAGGGACGUGUCCCUUAUUGCAUGUACCAUACGAAUAAGGACCGGCUAAUUCCGUGCCAGCAGCCGCGGUAAUACGGAAGGUCCAGGCGUUAUCCGGAUUUAUUGGGUUUAAAGGGAGCGUAGGCUGUUUGUUAAGCGUGUUGUGAAAUGUAAGAGCUCAACUUUUAGAUUGCAGCGCGAACUGGCAGACUUGAGUGCGCACAACGUAGGCGGAAUUCAUGGUGUAGCGGUGAAAUGCUUAGAUAUCAUGACGAACUCCGAUUGCGAAGGCAGCUUACGGGAGCGCAUCUGACGCUAAAGCUCGAAGGUGCGGGUAUCGAACAGG